UACGUAGGGCGCAAGCGUUAUCCGGAAUUAUUGGGCGUAAAGAGCUCGUAGGCGGUUUGUCGCGUCUGCCGUGAAAGUCCGGGGCUCAACUCCGGAUCUGCGGUGGGUACGGGCAGACUAGAGUGAUGUAGGGGAGACUGGAAUUCCUGGUGUAGCGGUGAAAUGCGCAGAUACCAGGAGGAACACCAACGGCGAAGGCAGCACUCUGGGCCGGUACUGACGCUGAGGAGCGAAAGCGUGGGGAGCGAACAGG
rnacentral:rRNA from 1 species